GAUGAAGAACGUAGCGAAAUGCGAUAAGUAAUGUGAAUUGCAGAACUCAGUGAAUCAUCGAGUCUUUGAACGCACAUUGCGCCCCCUGGUAUUCCGGGGGGCAUGCCUGUCCGAGCGUCAUUGCUGCCCUCAAGCACGGCUUGUGUGUUGGGCCCCGUCCUCCGAUCCCGGGGGACGGGCCCGAAAGGCAGCGGCGGCACCGCGUCCGGUCCUCGAGCGUAUGGGGCUUUGUCACCCGCUCUGUAGGCCCGGCCGGCGCUUGCCGAUCAACCCAAAUUUUUAUCCAGGUUGACCUCGGAUCAGGUAGGGAUACCCGCUGAACUUAAGCAUAUCAAUAAGCGGAGGA
rnacentral:misc_RNA from 1 species